AAGCUUGGCCCAAUGUUGUAAUCAUGGCCAAACAUUGGACAAGCUUACGCCAGGGUACAGCCAAGAUUUGUACAUGCUUGCAUCCCUUGAUACCUUGAUAUUUAACCGUUUUUACCUUGGCUGCCAAGAUUACACUGAUUUAUGGAUUCACUGCAGAAAUUUUAGUUAAAUAUGCUUGUUAAACUUAAUAUAUGUUAACUAAAAUUAAUUUAUCUUUUAAUAUCAUGCUCUAAUGUAAACAUAGCAUCAAUAACAGACUACGUUGCAUGUGUUAAACAUUUUGUUAAUCUUUUUAAAAUUGUGUGCGCUACUGCCACCGGCCCCCUGUCGCCCAUUGUCCCUUUGUUCACAUUCCUUCCUAUUGUUCGCAAGCCAGCAUCCCGGUGCUUCGCCAUUUUUCUUAACAAAAGACUUUGUAUCCAGUCACAGUAAAACAGGUAGGCCCACUGUAGCCAUUUUAGUUCAACAGUGAGAAGUAGUAUAACUGUAUUUAUGCAGAAUCUGGAAAACUCGUAUUUUUUUGUUGGAAACUUUAACUUUAUGGGCCUAAGUCAUCAAAUAAAAGUUAUAAAAGGUAGUUUAUUUGAGCUCCCUAUGGGAGAAUAAGAUGUCAUCAUCAUCACUCCUUUGUGGCCCCUGGGGAGCAAAGGGCUGCAACCACACAUCUCCAGCGGACUUGGUUUUGGGCUGCUCCUCUAAUCUGUGCCCAUGAGAGCCCAGCUGUUUUCGCCUCCUCCUCAACCGUUCUCUUCCAUGUUUUCCUUGGCCGGCCCACCCUCCUUUUUCCCUGGGGAUUCCAGUCUAAUGCAUGUUUUGAUGAAUAAGAUGCCUCCAGGUGUUGUGUAUAUCAAUCAGCCCACUGUAUCAAUCUUUUAAUAAAUUAUAAGGUCCCCACUGCUUGAUACUUCACCAAAUACUGGCUACACCAGAAAAUGACUAAAUGUUCUUAACACUUAACAACUACCACAAGCAUUACUUCUGGGUCACUCUGAAGGAUCUAAUCGUUCAAUUACUGAAUUGAUAAAGUUGAUGAAAUUGCUCAAAAGUUGUCUGGCACCUUCUUAACUCAGAGACAUAGGAAUGUGGAUGGAUUAUGACAUACCUUGCACAAAUCAACAACCAGGCUUUUAUUGGAUUUGAAUCCCAAAGGAAAGAGAAAGUUUGUUAUCCAAAACAAACAUGGAAAAUAUCAGAAACCAACAAAACACAAGCAGGCAGAGUGUUAUGGACCCAACUUUGGGGAAUCUCCUAAAACCAAGUAUAAAAAUAGAGAGGUGUGGUUGUGUCUCUCAGCUCCACAAGGGUCCACAAGAAUGAGGACAACAGUGAUUUUCGUAAUAAUUUUAGAUCAGAUUUUAAAAAAAAAAUUUGAUCAGAUGGAUCAGGUUAACAGUUUAAUACAUAUUGCAUUUAAGUGCUUAACGAAAAGAAAAGAUUCUCUUACCAAAAUAGUCUAAGAACAAUGCUGAUU